rnacentral:guide_RNA from 1 species
AAAUACACAAUGAAACGUGAUCUAGGUUGUAUAUGAUAGUAUAGAG